GGCCGCGGGAAUUCGAUUGCCCCCGCGCCGGUCCCGCCGCCCCCGCCCGCCUACGGGAGGCAGCAGUGAGGAAUAUUGGUCAAUGGUCGCAAGACUGAACCAGCCAUGCCGCGUGCAGGAUGAAGCAUCUAUGGUGUGUGAACUGCUUUUGUACGGGAAGAAACACCUCUUCGUGAAGAGGCUUGACGGUACCGUAAGAAUAAGGAUCGGCUAACUCCGUGCCAGCAGCCGCGGUAAUACGGAGGAUCCAAGCGUUAUCCGGAAUCAUUGGGUUUAAAGGGUCCGUAGGCGGUUUUGUAAGUCAGUGGUGAAAUCCGGCAGCUUAACUGUCGAACUGCCAUUGAUACUGCAGGACUUGAAUUACUGUGAAGUAACUAGAAUAUGUAGUGUAGCGGUGAAAUGCUUAGAUAUUACAUGGAAUACCAAUUGCGAAGGCAGGUUACUAACAGUGGAUUGACGCUGAUGGACGAAAGCGUGGGGAGCGAACAGGAUUAGAUACCCUGGUAGUCCACGCCGUAAACGAUGGAUACUAGCUGUUCGGUAGCAAUACUGAGUGGCUAAGCGAAAGUGAUAAGUAUCCCACCUGGGGAGUACAGGCGCAAGCCUGAAACUCAAAGGAAUUGACGGAAUCACUAGUUGAAAUUCGCG
rnacentral:rRNA from 1 species